UUCACUGUGGAUUUGAAACAUUUACCUUCAUCACUGGAUUCAUCGCUGGAGAAGACGAUUGCUGCCUUCUUAGAAACUACCUUUCUGGUUCUUGGACGCUGUUUAGCGGUGCCCCGGGGCUGAGGCGUAACAAAGUCACUGUCUGAGAGUUAACAUGACACUAAAUUAAAGGAAAAGUUGGGAACAAAAUCCUCAUCUCCUACUCCAGGAUUAUUUCUAAAUGACAAUGUAAGCCUUCAGUAGAGAAGACACAGAGUUCAAAAUCAGGGAUCUUUUUGAAUAUGAAGAACCAGCAUGUCCAAACUGAACUCUUCAUCUCCUCCAUUCUCACAACAUCUAGGAGCUGGAAGGAAUCUCAAAGGAGUUUAAGUUCUACCCAUGUCGAACAAGGCUUUUCUCCCACUCCAAACAACUGGUCAUCUGGCAUUCACUUCAAGAUAUUCUACGAAAGCAAACCUGUGACUUUUUAAAGCAGCCAAUUCCACAUCUGAAUAACUUUAAUAAAUAGAAGCCUUUCCUUAUUUAAAGUCUAAAUUGGUCUCUUUGCAACUUCUACUCAUUUCUAGUUCUGCAUUGGAGGCCAAACCAAACAAUUAUGAUCCCUCUUGUUGUUUCACUCAGGCAUAAAACGUUGGGAGUCAUCUUUGACUCUUUCUUUUCCACUUUAAUUACCAAAUCUGCCUUUUGAUUGAAAUGUCCAAUAUUCUUU